ACAGCACGAUAGGCGACGCCGGACGCAGCUUCCUCUUCUUUUCUUCGCGUCGCCCUCCAACCCCACCCACCGCCGCCACCCAGCACCACAAACCCGCACGAUCCCUCUCCGCGUCCUUGGUCGCCGACUUCCGAUAAGCUUUGACGCCGCGCACGCACGAGCUAGCCCAAAGCUCCAGCAUAUUAUCCCCAAUUUCGGAAGAGGUCCGAUCCCCGGUCCGAUCCAGAACACCCUUUUUAUUUUUCUAGGGUUUGGUUUUGGCCCGUGGAUCUAGGGUUUGGUGAGCUAAAUUUCCCGCGAUUCCUUUCGAUUGCUGGGAUUUGUUGUGCCUGCGCAUCAUGGCCGCGGGGCGCCACGGAGGGUACAGUGGUUACGAGGCGUCGAAGGAGCGGGAGUUCGAUCUGGAGGCUUCUAGAAGGGGAAAGGAUUACCAUCACCGCAACCCUAGCCGCCAUCGCGACUCAGAUCGUCGUCGCGAUGGCGGCCGGAGCAGGGACCGGGAGCCGUCAAAUGGGCACACCCGCCACCGGUCGCCACAUCUGCCACCGAAGAGCCGGCCGUCUGGGAGGAGGGAGGAGAGGGAACCUGGCGAGGUUUCGAGCGGAAGUGGCUCGGAAGGGUCUCGUGGGCGGCCGCUCAAGGCAAGGGAACCUGGUGUGAAUGGUGUUGUUGGGGUCAGCAGGGAGGGCGGGGUGCCGUCCCCAAGUAAGAAGAGAAAAUACUCGCUGGUUAUUUUGGAUAGGAAUGCUUCAAAGCCUCGCGUCCAAGAUGUCGGCAACCCGAGCAUGAAAGAGGUAGGCACUGUGGUUGCCAACCCGAGCAGCAUUGAUUUUGAUGCGUCGGUUGAUGUACAAAAUGUUGAAAGAUUACAGGAGCACGACAAUGAUAGGGUUAUUAUGGAGAAGGAUGAGGAGGAUGCUUAUCCAACAAUGAUAAACAUUAGGACUUCACGAUGGGCAGAUGCUGAUGACGAGGAAGAAAUUGUGUCAAAGAAGAAGAAAAGUGUGUCACCAGAACAAGGGUCCGUGAAAAAGGUUACAAGCCCAGAGCUUGGAAAGUUGAUGGUGGAUAAAGACUCAAACUCCUCAGUGUCUUCUGACUCUGGCGUAGUACAGUUUAGUGCAAACAGGGAUCUUGAAGUAGAUAAGGGUGACUACAUGGAUAUCGAGAAGGAUGCUGGGGAUGAUUCUUCUGCUCUUUGUGGGAUGCACACUGAUUCUGAGAGUCAUCGGUGUAGCUCUAGAACCCCAGAGCCCGCAGGGUCGCCGCAUAGGUGCAUUAACAUGCUUCAGGGUUGUAGGGGUGUUGACGAGUUUGAGAGGCUCAACACAAUUAAUGAGGGUACAUACGGUAUUGUAUCUAGGGCAAAGGAUAAGAAAACUGGUGAGAUUGUUGCAUUGAAGAAGGUAAAGAUGGAGAAUGAACGGGAAGGUUUCCCACUGACUUCUCUCAGGGAAAUAAAUAUCCUGCUAUCGUUCCAUCACCCAUCGAUUGUGGAUGUCAAGGAAAUAGUCGUUGGGAGUGGUGACAGCACCUAUAUGGUGAUGGAGUACAUGGAGCACGAUCUCAAGGCUGUCAUGGAGACUAUGAAACAACCAUAUAGUCAAAGCGAGGUCAAAUGUUUGAUGCUUCAGCUGCUAGAAGGUGUGAAGUAUCUUCAUGACAAUUGGGUGAUUCACAGGGAUCUCAAGACGUCUAAUAUUCUCUUGAAUAACCGCGGUGAGUUGAAAAUAUGUGAUUUUGGGCUCUCUCGUCAAUAUGGCAGCCCACUAAAGCCUUACACUCAAUUGGUUGUGACUUUGUGGUACAGGGCUCCAGAACUACUGUUAGGCGCAAAGAAAUAUUCCACUGCUAUUGAUAUGUGGUCGUUGGGUUGUAUUAUGGCAGAACUCCUUUCAAAAAAGCCACUGUUUGAUGGGAAACGUGACAUCGACCAACUUAGUAAGAUAUUUAGAAUGCUUGGUACACCUAACGAGGACAUAUGGCCUGGUUAUUCUAAAUUACCGGGCGCCAAGGCCAAAUUUGCCAAACAACCGUACAAUAGAUUAAGGGAAAAGUUUCCAGCUGUAUCUUUCACUGGUGGGCUGAUCCUGUCAGAGGCUGGAUUUGACCUGCUAAACAGAAUGCUGACGUAUGACCCUGAAACGCGCAUAUCAGCAGAGGAUGCGUUGAACCAUGAAUGGUUCUGUGAAGUACCAUUGCCUCAGUCAAGGGAUUCUAUGCCAACAUUUCAUUCCCUUAAUGAACAAGACAGGCGCAUGAUGAAACGUAUGAAGAGCCCUGAUCCUCUGGAGGAGCAACGAAUGAAAGAACUAGGGAGCAUACACGACCGUGGAAUUUUUAGCUGAGCCCUGAUCUUUUGGUUUGCUGCAGAUGCCAAUCUUCAACAUGAACCUAUGGAAGUGCACGUGUUCCAAGGUCAGAUGUCCACUGGAUAUAUGAAGUACACCGUCUUCUUGGUGUCUGGCGACAGUUGGUGGCCUUCUUUAGCAGGCAUGGAUGCAUAAUCAGAAGGGGAUACGAUUUCUCCUUAUAUUCCGUGCUAGGCACUAUUUCAUUUACAGGGUUAGCUCUUCCCCAACUUCUGGUCACAAUGAACUCUUACUUUACUUUUGGUCACAAUCUAAUCCACUGUGCAUUGUAAGGUGUGCAAAUAUCUCAUACAGCUGCAUCGUAUGGUCUGGCCUAUUCACAGCUAUUGGGUACACCAGUUUCACAUACCGAUCUUCUAGAUGAAUGAAGCGAAGAAGGGGAGUACCUUUUGCUUUUUCGCGAGGAAACUGAUGCAUAGUAAUGCAAAUUGUAAGCUUAAGCUGUGGCUAUCAAGACAGGAAGCUCGAGUGCUGUCAGCUUACCUUGCUUAAUUGACUUUCUUUGUGGAAGGUACCGACAAUGGAAAAGAGAAUGAGUGAGAUUCAGGCAAGUGAGAUGUUGAUGCGAUGCUUUUGUUUGCAUCAAGACAGAAACAAAGAAGCUUAUUGUGAGUGCUGGACCGAACUGUUUAUGGGUUCUCACUUGCAUAUCCUUCAUGAAUUCCUACACAAAAUCAUGCACCACUAUUGUUUUCUAUCAUUGUUUUCUACUCCCUCUGUUCCAAAAUAAGUGUCAUGGAUUUAGUUCAAAUUUGAACCAUGUCAGUUAUUUUGGAACAGAGUAUUUGUAUAAGUUGAUUGUAUUGUGUUAGUUUAGAUAGAAGACUGUUAAGUCGUGUCCAUAGUGGGCUAUCUAAAAGGUUGAUGGUUUCAAACUUCUUUAGUGGCACUUCAUCUUUAGUUAUCAGUUACAGCGUGGUAAAUAUUUUACUGGACAGUUCAUUGAAAUGUCGUUUCUUAUUCCGUGAAUGCAAGAUCAUUGUCAAAGGCAUGUCUGUAUUCCGUGAAUGCAAGAUCAUUCUCAAAGGCAUGCAGUUCAUUGAAAUAUCGUUUCUUAUUCCGUGAAUGCAAGAUCAUUGUCAAAGGCAUGUCUGUAUUCCGUGAAUGAAAGAUCAUUCUCAAAGGCAUGCCGGUUUCCAGCGCAUCCUCUUGGUCAGCUGUUGCAGACGAAAUGCCUGCAGCAGAGCAUUCUACGAUGAACCUUAUUGUACCUUUUCAAAACAAAUUAGUACAUACAUUUUGGACAGAAAUGCUAUCUAACAUUGUAAACCAUUUCUCUAUUUUGCUGUCGUUUCUAAGUCAAGGGUCAAUUCUGCUGUAGCCUGAGUUUUUGAAUGAAAGUGCUGAAAUUUUGAUCAAAUAAGUUUGGCUUGGAAGCCUUGUAAAUCAUGGCAAGGUCUGGUGAUGUGCCCCCCAAUGCCAAAGGUUUACUUGGGUGCUUUCCAACUGUUGAAACUGUUGAACAAAAGACAAGCAUGGCCAUUUGUUUUGAUGCAAGUAUCCAAGAGUCUUCACGUUAUAAUCUUCCGACCAUGUUACAGCUUGGGUCUUUUUGCUUUGAGGUUUCACCCAACGAGCCAGAGAAGGAUAAAGUGAAGCCAAACUUCAGGACCCCUCCAACAUGAAUUAAUAUCAGUACUACUUUUCAUGUCUGCUGGAGUAGUGCCAAGCAUGCAGGCAAACAAAUCGAUACUUAAGUCUAAAUUAGCAACAAGUUCUGGUUAGCUAGUUUAGUUUUUCUCUCCGAGAUGUAAAAGGAGAGGAUAUCGCAUGUUAGUUCAGGUCAUCAAGUCGGUUACAUAUUUUAGGCCCUUACGGCAUGUGAGCUUAUAUAAAGGAGGAGUCGCGAGUCUUGUAAGGGAGAUUAGUUUUGAGUUGAAUAGAAAAAUACCAGAAAAUGCCUCACGGCGAGGGGUGGCAAAGAUGCGUUUUGCGAUUCCUAGGAUCUCGUUGUUGCUGUUCCUGUGUUGAUCUCGUAUCAAUAUCCGGUACAAGUCUACUCCUUUGGCUUCUUGCUAUAUGGUUUUGAUCCAAAGGCUUUUCUUCUUCUUAGUCUGUUUGUUUUAUUCUGUGACGGUUGCUGCUGCUGUUCAUUGAUAUUUUGCAAGUACCGUGAAGGAUCGGACCAACUAGCGACUCGUCGUCUAGUCGAGUCACAUCAUCUGGUCCAGUAUUUGAUAAUCUUCUAUGUAGUAUCGAAACUGCCUCCUUUCACGCGAACAUUUCGAAUAAGAAAUGCUAUCCAGUUUCAAUAGGCAUUUCUCUAUUUUUGUUGUCGUUAGGUCAAGGAUCAAUUGUGCGGUAGCCAGAGUUCUUAAAUGAAGUGUUUAAAGGUUUUGAUCAAAGUUUGGCUUGGAAGCCUUUUAAAGCAUCGCUAAGGUCAGGUCCAGUAUUUGAUAAUCUUGGACUAUCGAGAACUGCCUCCAUUCAUGAUGUAUGUGCAUUUGAUUUUGACAGUAAAUAUCUUGAUUCCUACUCAAUAAUUCAAGAUAUCACCUGAGCCUGCCCCCAUGCAAUUUAUUGCAUAUUUUGCAGGUUCACGUUUGGGAAUUAAAGUGUAUUAAUUAUUAUCCUGUGUGGAUUAUGGUUUGUUAGUAGUGUUAACAUAUGAUCACGACUAGUAAGGUGGAGAAGUGCUCUUUUAUUUCUAGCUUUUAUUGUAUUUUUGGUUGCACCACCUGUGCCAGCUUGUCUCCAACUGGAUUAGCCUGUCCUAACCCAUCAUACACUAAUGUCUGCAUAUGAAGGAUAAAAUCACCUCCGUAACUAAAUAUGAGACUUUUUUUAGUUCAAUUUGAACUGCAAAAACAUCUUAUAUUUAGUUGCAGAGGCAGCAUUAACUUGUACUCCCCAGUUUAUUUGAUGUAUAUAUGCCCUUCCUAACCCUGUGCACAGCAACGAUGGAACUUGAAUUAGUAUUGCAGAGGCAAAGAAGCUUCUGCGGUCUCUCUGGCUUCUGACCAUUUGUGUUCUGUCAGACCGAAAAAACCCUAAGGUGUUGCAAGAGUGCCUGCAGAUAAAGUUAGUACAAAGUUGAGACAUUUAUUUUGGGAUGGGGGGAGUAUUUCUUUUACCUCUUAGGGUUAUGGUUGUAUCUAUCUAAAUUUGGUAAAGUGAUGUGGUAUCAAGAUGAGUACAACUUGUUUUCUUUUUCCUGUAACGUGGUAACAAUGUCCCUGACAGUUUUGCCGUCUGAGAUUUCUCGAUAAUGUGCAGCUGAUUCACCUGAGAAUAUGUCUUCAUGAGAUAAAGCAAUAUAACUUGUUUGUAGUGGGCUUUGCUAGCGACAAUGAACUGUAAAAUGAGGCGGUAUAUCUCACCAAGGAAAAGGAAGUUGGAAAACAAUUGUGCAAGCUAUUUGAAAGGGAAGAGAUAAUAGCCCGUCUAGAGUAGAGUGGACCAAAGUUGGAGACCGCAACACUUCUUUUUUCCAUGCUAGGGCGUCAGUAAUAUGAAGAACAAACAUGAUUAAAGGUUUGUGAAGGGCUGACAACACAAAGUGUGAAGAUCAGAAAGGCAUGUUAAGCCUAGUCCAUGAAUUUUGUGUGAACCUGUUUUCUUCUGAACAAUGUUCAUUACUAAAUGAAGUAUUGAAUGCAAUUCCAAGGAAAUUCGAUGAUGAAAUGAAUGAAGUUUUGGCCAGGGAAUACACCAAUGAAGAAAGUAAAUAUGCUCUAUUCCAGAUGGGGCCGACAAAGGCAUCGAGGCCAUAUGGAUUUUCGGCUAUCUUUUAUCAAAGGCACCGGUACCUCUUGGAGCAAGAUUUAUGUUCAGCUGUGAGAGGCUUCUUAAUGGGUCAAACACUCCAGAUGGCUUCUGUGACUCCAUAAUUGUACUAACUAGAUGAUGCCCUGCGCGUUGAUGCGGGAUAUUUUUUAGAAUUUUGUUAGAAAGAUCAGGAUCCAAUUUGAAGUGCCAUAAAGCACUGACUUGCACAUUCUGCAUCAUAGUGGAUGUCUAGAUGACAUCAACAGAGUUGAUGCAGAUAAAUGUAGUCUCACAUGAUGACACAUUGGUACCUUUUGCAUCCCUCAAAAUACCUAGAAGAUGAGAAUGUUUCUCAGUCA